rnacentral:lncRNA from 1 species
CCAAUUUCUGUUAGAAUAAUAUUUGGAAGUUGGCAAUUUAGUUAGGGAAAACUACAUAGGGAAAAGUACAUAACAAAUCUAAGCCCUUAAUUAUACUCUCUCCGUUUAAAAAAGAAUGAUCAACUUUGACAUGACAUAAAGUUUAAGAAAAUAAAGAAAACUUUUGAAUCUUAUGGACUUAAAUUAAAGUAGUGUCAAAUGUACCAAAAUGUCCUUUAAUCUUGUGGUCCU